GAUGAACGCUGGCGGCGUGCUUAACACAUGCAAGUCGAGCGAGAAGUUUUGAAAAGAUUCUUCGGAUGAAAUUUAAAAUGGAAAGCGGCGGACGGGUGAGUAACGCGUAGGCAACCUGCCCCAUACAAAGGGAUAGCAUUUGGAAACGAAUAUUAAUACCUUAUGAAACUUAACUAGUGCAUGCUAGGUAGGUCAAAGAUUUAUCGGUAUGGGAUGGGCCUGCGUCUGAUUAGCUAGUUGGUGAGGUAACGGCUCACCAAGGCGACGAUCAGUAGCCGACCUGAGAGAGUGAACGGCCACAUUGGAACUGAGACACGGUCCAAACUCCUACGGGAGGAAGCAGUGGGGAAGAUUGCACAAUGGGGGAAACCCUGAUGCAGCAACGACGCGUGAACGAGGAAGGCCUUUGGGUCGUAAAGUUCUGUUCUAGGGGAGGAAAACUGACAGUAACCUAGGAGAAAGCCCCGGCUAACUCCGUG
rnacentral:rRNA from 1 species